GAUACAAGGAGCUACCCCAAUGUGGCAAACACAGAAAAAAUCACUAAGUGAACAUCAGGAUAGGGGACAUCAAGAAUUGUGCCGAAAAUGUUCGUUAGGAGUAACCAUUUUUCUCCUGGCAUCUGUUGCAGUGGGUUGCAUCAUUUUUUCAGUGUUGCUGGCAUUUCAGCAUGAGAUCUCUUCUGGUCCACAGCUUAGUCAUCGUGGUGAUACGGUUUUUCUCCAGAGUAUAAGUCGAUUCUAUCAUUCUUCCAUUACCACCUCCACAUGUGACCAAAGAGGUGACUCUCCUCACAUUGAUAGAAUCUUUAUCGUUCCUGAAAAUAAUCUCACCAUGCACCACACAAAUCACUCUUUAAACUCUGCUCAGAUCGAUCAACAAUUCUCAUCCGCUGUAAGUGGUCUCAUAGACAACUUGUAUCUGCUAGAAGGAAGUGAUCUUAGCUACAAAAUAUGCGUAGGAAGUAUAGACAGUGGUAGUCUACAAGGUGAUCUAUUCGUGUUCACCAAUGACUUCAAUUUCAUUGAAUACAAAGAAUCUCCCGAACUUGGUGAACAAUUAUCGAUUAUUUCAAAAAGUUUCGAAAUUGGAAGGGACAACAGUACCAACUGUGUUCAAUUGGUAUUCAAAGCACCUAAAUCUUCGUACUAUUUUGUGGCUACAAGGACACCUGCUUCAAUAUUCUACACUUUCCAAUACACACUGCACAUUAACUAUUAUGAUCACAGCGACUAUCAAGUAGCAUGCUCCAUCUAUGAGGAAGAGCCUUGUGAGAUUACACUACCAGGAUCUAUAUUUUCAACUGAAAAAUAUGUUCUUCUUGCAUAUGUAAGACCGAAUGUCGAGCUAUCAUCUUCCACAAAUCAUCUGUGUGUUACUGCUAACCGCUCGGACAGUGUCUACCUUAUCAUUGGUAUGGCUACAUCAAUUGCAGCAUUGGCACUGCUUGGAACUGUUGUGAUAAUUAUUGUGGUGGUAGUUGGCAUAAGGCGUAGGAAUAGAAGAGGAUACGCUAUCAUACAAAGCUCUCCACCGUCCUACAACUCUCACUAUGGAAAAUUGUAUGGCUGAAUACGGCACGUAUAUAAAACUUUUAUAGAACAAAUUUAUUCAUUGAUUUUGUGUAUGGAUACUAGAUUGAAACUGCGGCUAAGGUUUCAGUAUGCCCUUGUUAUACAUGUUAUUGUAAGUGCACGAUGGCAAAGGUCAAGGUUGUGGCAUAAUAUGGAUUCUAUUCCAUUCCAUUGGAUGCAAAAUGGCCUCCCCUGCUCAUGAGUUAGCUGACUUUACAAGCCCGAGAGUGCUCAUCACUGUCAGAGGAUGGCCUGAGCAAGUGUGCCCAGUGACCAAUGAGCAUCUGAGCACACUCCUCACUGCAUUGCAGCAGAGUUUGCCCAACAACGUUGUCACUCUACAAGCAAGUGUUAGCAACAGCACUAAAUCUGCCACUGAGAAUUACUUCUGUGUGUCUGCACCAUGUCUGGCUAACACAAACAAGAGUGACAUUGGUGUGAGGCGCCCCUCCAUUGUAAUGGAUGUGACCGUGUGGGCCGAGGUGAACAAUAGCAAUAGACCACUGUUCAUACAGAGCAUCAAGAAUGCUUGGACUACGUUCCUUAAUAGCGAGUCUGAAACAAUGGAUUUUCUCAUUCAAGUACAGCAAGCUGCGAUAGUUCGAGACAGUACACAAAGUCAUACCAAUCCAACUGUUUCCUUGCCAACCACAAUGAACAGUUAUAUAGUUAAUCGAUCGAAGUCAACCGAGGUGUAAUAAAUAGAUCUAUAUAUAAAAUUAUUUAUGUACAUUAUUUUUGCUUCCUUUUAUGAAAAUCAAUGAUUAUCAGUAUUGAAUCUAACUUCCUGUGUUUAUACAGUGAUAUUUUUAUUGUCAGGCUUUAGACUUUGGCAAUAGUUCAAGGAUCAUGGCUUCCAAACCACCCGGUUCACCUCCCAAACUGACGGACGGAAACCUGCUCAAUAGUGGAAAGAAUGAGUUGCUUAUAAAGGUCAGCUACUCUGAGGAGUUUGGAACAGUGGCUGCCUGUAAACUGGACGAGUUUCUAUUGGCAGUGCAAAGUAUUCAAGAACUCUGGGAUGUUCGUUGCACUGUGGGGUCUCGGAUUCUGGAAAAGCCACAGUCAGAGGGUACAGACAGUGUGCAGGCUGAGAGCAGUACUGGUACUGCAGUGGCCAACGACCUUGAGGUAACCAGGUACUACUGCAAGACUGCACUCUCUUAUAAUGGGAGCUACUUUCAGUUGAUUUGCCGAUACAAAGAAGAAGAAAUACACCUUAGCUAACCUUGGAAUCCCACAAGAAGCUAGCCAGCCAGCUUGUAUAAGUUCCCUAACUGCUUUUGUUGAUCAAUGUUUCAGCGCUUGUCUCGUGUAUUGUAUUGUAAAAUUUGAUUAUUUUGUAUUUUUGUGUUUGAUUUGCGGCAUUCUUACACAUAUAUUUUCAUUUUUGCCGAUUGCCAGCAAAAAUAUACGGCCUACUCUGCUGCUUAAAGCGGCUGCUGCUCGAUAUAAAGUGGACUAAGCGGUUCCAAAAUGUGUCCAGUUUUGUCAAAAAAUCCACAAUUAUCAAUGACGUAUCGCAUUAUCUACACAUACCCAAGAGCUGCGUAGAGCCACUAAUUUGGGGAAUUCCCCAUUAAUCGCAAUGUACCAGCAAUGUAAAGUGAGUGUAUAUGGCUGCAACUUUCAGAACCUCCCCCACUGGGUCAUGCAGAUUACUGGAGAAGUAGUGUCUCUUGGCGUCAUCAUUAUUUUUCUCCACCCCUAGAGAAAAAGUAGGUCAGCAAACCUCACUGGGAGACGUUCCAGAAACUUCUUGGUGUCGUUCCCCUGCAGUGAUGUCCAUUCGUAAUGUCCAGAAGCUUUGCCAUCUGGACCCCUUGCUUCCCAUACCCUGAACGUGAUACCACAGUCUUUAACGAUCGUCUGUAGUGUUUGUAGGAAAAACUCAAGGCGGUACUCUGUUUCAUCAACAGUGAGUAGUGGGUGUGAAAUGAUGUCGUUCAACUCCUUCAAUACCUCAGAUAGUCCUGAACUAAUUGUUUCAUACGACUCUUCGGCUUUUAGGCCAGCAAAAGUAUGAUUGCCUGUAUGAAUGUCAAUAUAAAAAUAUUUUCACCACUUUCUCGUUUAAUAUUUUUAUUGUUAAGCUUACCCAUGCCUGAUAAAACAUUGUCUUGAAUUUC